CGAGACUCUUCCGGUAUGACGCUACCGCUAUUGAAAUCGGAGAUAGCGUCGUUCAAACUUUGGCGGAUGGAUGCGUGGGUGUUGUAAUGGAGGGUGAUAUCACGGUCCAAAGCAUGA
rnacentral:ribozyme from 1 species